UCUCCCACUAUCUCAUGAAUGUGUUUUCUCUUUCUCUCCCCCAACCUCCUCUUUAAUGCCGGUGUCUGUUUGAUUUCCUCUCCCUCUUUAAUUUUCCAUUUUCCAUUUUUUUCGAAACCUACUCUUUCCUCUUCUCCUUUCAGAAUUUUUGAAUUUGAAAUUCAAAUUUUUUAUAUUUCCAAUGUGCAUACCAUUAUGCAUAGCAUUAAGUCCAUCUAUACCCUUCUUCUAUAUUCAUCUCCACCGUCUAUACUGGCCAAUUAUCUGCAGUCUGCACAGCUCCCAUGGUAUUGCUUUGAAUUUUUUCUUUUUGAAAGGUGGUGCUUUGAAAUUGAAAGCAUAUGUUUUGGAACUUCAAAAUCAAAAUUGUGUUUUCAUCUAAUCUGCCCACUAUAUUUAGAGGAAAGCUCAUCUGACCAUAGCUCCCUCCUUUCUCGCCAAAGCUCUACCACACCAGGGAACUUGCGUUCUCCUUCUCCGACCUCCUCCUCCGCUCCCAGCCUGAAGCAACUCCAUCGUCUUCAUCCUCCUCCGUGAAUCGGUUCUCUCCACUGCCUCCGAUCUCAUCAUCAGCACCACCCGUGUUGUGGAAUUCACGAGAUUGACAGUGACAUCGCCGAAGAACAUCAAUCGCACGCACGACUCCUGGGAUUAGUUUGGAAAUAGAUCCCUUUCUUAUAUCUUCUCUCCACUGUCUCACUCACCAUCGCAUUCUCCUGCACUUCUCCCUCUUCCCACCCAUCUUUCUCCAACAAUUAGUUUUAGGGUUUAGUGUUUCAUUUGCAAUCCCAGAGGAUUUAGAAACCUCUCUCUUCUUCAUCUUCACAUCUACCAUGACGAUGAUAAAUUCCUUCUUCAACCAGCUUUAUUCAUCUCCUCCGUCGCCCACCUUACCCACGCCAAUAACUCCUCCUCCUCCUUUGUCUGACCUCCUCAAGACCCAACCCCAGCCGCCCCAUCCUUUUCUCCUCUUCCUUCUUCAUCUUUCAUCAGAUACGAGCUCACUAGAGUUGUCGACGGUGAGCGGCGGAGCAAGGUAACUUCUCCAUGCUCGCCCAGAGCUUCCUAGGGAUGACCUUGAAGAUUCCAGUUUUAGAUAAAGGUUAUGAGGAAUAAGUUGAUUGGAGAGGUAAGCCAACAUAGAAAUAGAAACUGUUUCUAUUUCCAUUUUAAAUUUUGGUUUUCUUUCAGUUUGGUUUUAGGUUUAUAGAACUUGAAAUACAUAUGUGAGACCUGCUGUGCAUUGGGUUUUGUUAUGAUUUCUCCAGCUCCUUGGAAUACAAAUAUGUUCAUGUUAAUCUAACUAUUAUAUUUACUUCAUCCUGUAGUCGUGGUACUCCAUGACUCCAUGUCAGAAUUAAUUCUCUUAUCUUACAUAUAUGAUUUGGUUGUUGAAGUAGGACCAAAAGCAAAUGAGAGAUUAAUCAACAUUGGAGCUGAGGAAUAGCAGAAGUUCUUGAUAUCCAGAUUUUCCAAACAAUGUUCAUGUUACUGAAUUUUAUUUACUGUGUGAUUUUUUUUUUAAUUUUUGAAGUUCUGAUUUUUGUUAGUUUAUUCACUGCAACUUCUAAUACCUUUUGAUGGCACACUGCAACUUCUAAUAUGUCCAAGACUUCAGGUUUUCAAUACUAGAUUACGCUCCCAAGUGAUUUUACUUGGUAGAGAUAACUAGGUCAGCGAUUACGGAACUUUAGAUAUUCGCAAUGUUAUUGCAUGGUGGAGCUGAUUGUGGUUUGGAGCGUUAGUUUAUGUAUGAAGUGUUGUCUUUCUUACUGCUCUCAAACAUUAACUCAUCCAACAGAUGGAAUGUUCCUUAUAGAAAUUGAUGUAAUUGUUUCAAUGAUUGUUAAUUUAAUUUUUGAAAUAAAUUUAGGAUCUUAAUGUCGAGUUUGUUAACGCUGAAAAUUCCAAUGCUGUGGAGACGUCUAAUUCUCCUGCUGUUGACUUGAGUUCGGAUACUCAGCGAAUCUCUCAUGUCCGUUCUGAUCCAACUCCAAAAGUUAAAAUUGUUGGAGAUAAGUCUGCAAAACUUGAUAUGACCCUAAAAGAGAUUGAACCUGUUGGUGAAUUGGACAUCAAUAAGUCUGCUGAUUCUGAUGGUUCCAGUGGCGAGCAAUCUCCUCGAGCUACUGUUGUUCCUCUUGCUUGCAUUAGUUCAACUAAGAAAUCUACUAAAACGUAUUUGAAGUCUAAGGAAAAGAUGAAGAGUGUUGGUGUUGAAUCGGCUGAAGCUAUCCAAGUUGCUAAAACUGCUAAAGAGCCUGAAGUGGAUGUAUCUGUUGCAAGCCAGAUUUCCCCUCCUUCCAAGUGUCCAUCCCCCCUGAUGCCGAAGUUGUUGGAGUCUCAGUUGCUGGCAAGAAACCCCUGAAAGCUAUGAAAAAGGAGAAGAUCUGAAGACUGUUUUGUGUUGUGUUGGCUGUUUUGAUGUUUUGUUAUUGUGGUUGUCUUUUCAAGCUGUUAAGUGUGUUGUUUUGUAGUCCUGGAUGUUAGUUAGUUUGUCAGUGUUGUGUUUUCUGUUUUUUCAGUUUCAUUUCAAUCUUAAUGUUCAAUCUGCCUAUUAUUAGUAUGUUUUGGGAUGGCAGAUUGGUUUAUUCAGGUCUCUGUUUUGUUGUCUUUUGGUCCGAACGAAAAUGAAUUGAAUGAAAGAAGUUAUUUUGAGUCUCAAA